rnacentral:rRNA from 1 species
UGAGUACGAGAUGCUACGGCAUCGAAGCAGUCUAUGUCAUACUUCCAAGAAAAGCUUGCACUGUCAUAAACAAAGAAUGCCUGUACCAUAACCGACACAGGUGGGUAGGUAGAGUAUACUAAGGGGCGCGAGAUAACUCUCUCUAAGGAACUCGGCAAAAUGACUCCGUAACUUCGGGAGAAGGAGUGCCUUAUUUCUAAGGUUGCAAUAACAAGACCCAAGCAACUGUUUACCAAAAACACAGGUCUCCGCUAAGUCGUAAGACGAUGUAUGGGAGCUGACGCCUGCCCAGUGCCAGAAGGUUAAAGAAGUUGGUUAGCAUUAGCGAAGCUGAUAACUGAAGCCCUGGUGAACGGCGGCCGUAACAAUAACGGUCCUAAGGUAGCGAAAUUCCUUGUCGGGUAAGUUCCGACCCGCACGAAAGGCGUAAUGAUUUGGAUACUGUCUCGGAGAGGGGCUCGGUGAAAUAGACUUGUCUGUGAAGAUGCGGACUACCUGCACCUGGACAGAAAGACCCUAUGAAGCUUUACUGUAACUUGAGAUUGAAAUUGGACUUUAUUGCGCAGUAUAGGUGGGAGGCGUUGAGAAUAAUCUUGCGGGAUUGUUGGAGCCAUCAGUGAGAUACCACUCUUGUAAUGUUAGAUUUCUAACUUUGUAUCAUUAUCUGGUCAAAGAACAGUUUCAGGCGGGCAGUUUGACUGGGGCGGUCGCCUCCCAAAGGGUAACGGAGGCGCACAAAGGUUUCCUCUGAACGGGUAGAAAUCGUAUCUAGAGUGUAAAGGCAUAAGGAAGCUUGACUGUGAGACCUACAAGUCGAGCAGGGACGAAAGUCGGUCUUAGUGAUCUGACGGUGCUGAGUGGAAAGGCCGUCACUCAACGGAUAAAAGUUACUCUAGGAUAACAGGCUGAUCUCCCCCAAGAGUUCACAUCGACGGGGAGGUUUGGCACCUCGAUGUCGGCUCAUCGCAUCCUGGGGCGGUAGUCCGUCCCAAGGGUUGGGCUGUUCGCCCAUGAAAGCGGUACGCGAGCUGGGUUCAGAACGUCGUGAGACAGUUCGGUCCAUAUCCGGUGUAGGCGUUAGAAUAUUGAGAGGAGCCUUCUCUAGUACGAGAGGACCGAGAAGGACAUACCUCUGGUGUACCAGUUAUCGUGCCAACGGUAAACGCUGGGUAGCUAUGUAUGGAGUGGAUAACCGCUGAAAGCAUCUAAGUGGGAAGCCCACCUCAAGAUAAG